rnacentral:tRNA from 1 species
GCGUCAAGAUGGCGCAGGCCGCCGUGCUCGCGGUCUUCGAGGUCGCGGAACGGCUCGCGGCCGACCCCGACGGACGUGACGUCGUCUGGUGCGC